GGCCUUUAGUUUGAAUUUAAGGUCUGAUCUGCCCACUGAAAUUAUUUAAAGGGCCGCGGUAUUUUGACCGUGCAAAGGUAGCAUAAUCAUUUGUCUUUUAAUUGAAGGCUGGUAUGAAGGGUUGGACGAAGAAUAAGCUGUCUCUAAAUAACAUACAUAAAUUUAACUUUUUAGUGAAAAGGCUAAAAUUAUUUUGUUGGACGAUAAGACCCUGUAGAUCUUAAUAUAAUAUUAUCUUUUUUAUUUUAGGUGUUAGAACUUUGAAGAUAUAAUUGUAUUUUGUUGGGGCGACAUUUAGACUAUAAACUCUUUAUUUUUAUUAUAUUAAUUUAUAUAACAUUUAUUGAUCCUGAAGUUAGGAUUAAAAGACUAAGUUACCUCAGGGAUAACAGCGUAAUCUCUUUUAAGAGUUCAAAUCGACAAAGGGGGUUGUGACC
rnacentral:rRNA from 1 species